ensembl:snoRNA SNORD31 Small nucleolar RNA SNORD31
UGUGCUAGUGAUGACUUCCUGUUACCGCCCCAGUCUGAAGAUUCAUGACUGAUUGGUACAACUCCUGAGCCACA